GACGAACGCUGGCGGCGUGCUUAACACAUGCAAGUCGAACGGUGAAAGCGGAGCUUGCUCCGCUGGAUCAGUGGCGAACGGGUGAGUAACACGUGGGCAACCUGCCCCUCACUUCGGGAUAACUCCGGGAAACCGGGGCUAAUACCGGAUAUGACCUCCUUGGGCAUCCUUGCAGGUGGAAAGUUUUUCGGUGGGGGAUGGGCCCGCGGCCUAUCAGCUUGUGGGUGAGGUAGUGGCUCACCAAGGCGACGACGGGUAGCCGGCCUGAGAGGGCGACCGGCCACACUGGGACUGAGACACGGCCCAGACUCCUACGGGAGGCAGCAGUGGGGAAUAUUGCGCAAUGGGCGAAAGCCUGACGCAGCAACGCCGCGUGCGGGAUGACGGCCUUCGGGUUGUAAGCCGCUUUCAGCAGGGAAGAAGCCGCAAGGUGACGGUACCUGCAGAAGAAGCACCGGCUAACUACGUGCCAGCCGCCGCCGUAA
rnacentral:rRNA from 1 species